rnacentral:rRNA from 1 species
AACGAACGCUGGCGGCAGGCCUAACACAUGCAAGUCGAGCGCCCUUUCGGGGGAGCGGCGGACGGGUGAGUAACGCGUGGGAAUAUGCCCUUCUCUACGGAAUAGCCUCGGGAAACUGAGAGUAAUACCGUAUACGCCCUAUGGGGGAAAGAUUUAUCGGGGAAGGAUUAGCCCGCGUUGGAUUAGGUAGUUGGUGGGGUAAUGGCCUACCAAGCCGACGAUCCAUAGCUGGUUUGAGAGGAUGAUCAGCCACACUGGGACUGAGACACGGCCCAGACUCCUACGGGAGGCAGCAGUGGGGAAUCGUAGACAAUGGGGGCAACCCUGAUCGAGCCAGGACGCGUGAGUGAUGAAGGCAGUAGGGUUGUAAAGCUCUUUCAGCUGGGAAGAUAAUGACGGUACCAGAAGAAGAAGCCCCGGCUAACUCCGUG